GCGGGGGGCCAGAGGCGGCGUCGCCAUGCGGCUGUGGUCCGCUGCCCGCGGACGGUCACCCUGCGGAAGCUCGGAACCACCCCCGAAUCAGCCCGGCUUGGCGCGCUGAGGUUCAUUAGUCAUUCAGCAAACAUCACCUGCGCGCACAAGGCUUGCUGGGCGCCGAGCUGGGCGCGCGGGGGGCCGCCGUAAGGGGGCGACACCGAACGCGGACAUUCAUGCAACAAGCAUUUAUAAAGCACCUACUGUGUGCUGGGUCCCCCUGCACUGAACAAAACAAAAUCCAGGCCCUUGGGAAGCUGACGUGAACGAGGGGACUGCAGCGGGCUGGGAGAGACGCCAGCGCGGCGGGCAGGGCAUGGGGAGCUGCUGGGGAGGCCGAACAGCCCUGGGGAGUGUUGGGGGAGAGUGCAGCCCGCGAGGGCAGUGAGGGCUGGGAGGCCCCGGGGGGCAGGUCGCGCAGGCCCAGCGGGAGGUGGGAGCCACCGCGGGCUGUGGACAGAGCAGGGCCGCGCCCGGCUCCAGGCUCGCGGGCGCCCGCUGGCGGCUGCGGGGAGAACAGGCCGUGGGCGGUGCCGGGAGAGGAGGGCGGAGGCGGCUGCGCGGGUCGAGGGCCGGAUGAUCGGGCGGAAGAUGCGGCCCGGGCAGGAUGGGGGCUAAGAGGGGUGUUAUGAAUUGUGCAAAGUCCCUGGAAACCAAAGAACGAGCGGCCGGAGAAAGGGGCGCCGCUUUAGCAGGGCGGCGGGGACAGGCCGCCUCCAGCAGGUGCCUCAGCUGAACCCUGGAGCGGGGACGGAGCCGUGCGGCUGCCGGGGAGGCUUCGGGGCCACCCAGGACUCCUCCUUCAGAAGUCAGGGGAGGGCGCCGAGUUCAGUGUAAACUGCCGUCCAGGGGGGAGGCCGCGGGGAUGUGAGAAGCGCCGGGAACCAGGACAGGGCCUGAAGGCAGCUGACCCGCAAGCGCCGGGGCCAGACCUGAACCUGAUGAGGACGGAGCUGUCUGUCUGAGACGGCACAGAUGGGGCCGGGCAGGUCUGGGAGAGUCCAUGCAGAUUCUGGAGCGGGGUGUGGGACCAGAGGGUAGAAACAGAAGCGUGGGGCCGGGCACGGUGGCUCCCGCCUGUAAUCCCAGCAUUUUGGGAGGCCGAAGCGGGUGGAUCACUUGAGGUCAGGAGUUCGAGACCAGCCUGGCCAACAUGGCAAAACCCCGUCUAUACUAAAAAUACAAAAAAUUAACCGGCGUCUUGGCGCAUGCCUGUAGUCUCAGCUAGUCGGGAGGCUGAGCAGAAUCGCUUGAACCCAGGA
rnacentral:lncRNA from 10 species